GGGGAGCCGAAGGGAAACCGAGUCUUAACUGGGCGUUAAGUUGCAGGGUAUAGACCCGAAACCCGGUGAUCUAGCCAUGGGCAGGUUGAAGGUUGGGUAACACUAACUGGAGGACCGAACCGACUAAUGUUGAAAAAUUAGCGGAUGACUUGUGGCUGGGGGUGAAAGGCCAAUCAAACCGGGAGAUAGCUGGUUCUCCCCGAAAGCUAUUUAGGUAGCGCCUCGUGAAUUCAUCUCCGGGGGUAGAGCACUGUUUCGGCAAGGGGGUCAUCCCGACUUACCAACCCGAUGCAAACUGCGAAUACCGGAGAAUGUUAUCACGGGAGACACACGGCGGGUGCUAACGUCCGUCGUGAAGAGGGAAACAACCCAGACCGCCAGCUAAGGUCCCAAAGUCAUGGUUAAGUGGGAAACGAUGUGGGAAGGCCCAGACAGCCAGGAUGUUGGCUUAGAAGCAGCCAUCAUUUAAAGAAAGCGUAAUAGCUCACUGGUCGAGUCGGCCUGCGCGGAAGAUGUAACGGGGCUAAACCAUGCACCGAAGCUGCGGCAGCGACGCUGAUGCGUUGUUGGGUAGGGGAGCGUUCUGUAAGCCUGUGAAGGUGUGCUGUGAGGCAUGCUGGAGGUAUCAGAAGUGCGAAUGCUGACAUAAGUAACGAUAAAGCGGGUGAAAAGCCCGCUCGCCGGAAGACCAAGGGUUCCUGUCCAACGUUAAUCGGGGCAGGGUGAGUCGACCCCUAAGGCGAGGCCGAAAGGCGUAGUCGAUGGGAAACAGGUUAAUAUUCCUGUACUUGGUGUUACUGCGAAGGGGGGACGGAGAAGGCUAUGUUGGCCGGGCGACGGUUGUCCCGGUUUAAGCGUGUAGGCUGGUUUUCCAGGCAAA
rnacentral:rRNA from 1 species